rnacentral:misc_RNA from 1 species
CACGUAGGUGGCAAGCGUUGUCCGGAAUUAUUGGGCGUAAAGCGCGCGCAGGCGGCCUCUUAAGUCUGCUGUGAAAGCCCCCGGCUCAACCGGGGAGGGCCAUUGGAAACUGGGCGGCUUGAGUAUAGGAGAGAAGAGUGGAAUUCCACGUGUAGCGGUGAAAUGCGUAGAGAUGUGGAGGAACACCAGUGGCGAAGGCGAUUCGCUGGUCUGUAACUGACGCUGAGGCGCGAAAGCGUGGGGAGCAAACAGG